rnacentral:lncRNA from 14 species
CUAAUAUUGCUUGAGUUGCUGUGCUGUGGGUUGGGGAGCCCAGUGGUAAACAUUAUGGUCUGCUUUCCCCCUUGGCAUGGCUGCUCUUACCUUCCUCUAUGGCUCAGCUAGAUGCCUGGUGUCACCCUCAUCGUGUUGGCUGUGCUGGGGUCAAGAGCAAUGAAGGGUGGCAGUUUCUGCAGGCCACACAAGCACUAACUCUUACCACAUGCUCAGAAGGGAGCCCUGCAGCUUUCUUAUCCUUCAGUGACUAUGGAUGCUUACUGAUGCCCUUUGGAGAUGGCACUGGGAAGCCCUUGCCUAGGGCUCAUGGGCUGCUCAUCAGGCCCAGCAGCUGUCCUGUGCUUUUGGAGAAAGAAGACCUGAGCUGUUCCCCGGCCCUGUGAAGCACUGAGCAGCCACAAUGCGCAGCACAGCCAAGCACCUCCUGGCAUCCUUCUGUAGGCAUGGAGUUGUUGUUAAACAGCACUUGCAACAGUGCCUUAUUGUUUUCUCCCCAUUCAGGAACUGCUUCACUGGCCUGAUGUAGAAAGCAGGAUUCUGCUGCAGUAUGUUGGGGUGUAUUUUUUCAUGCUAAUCUAGUUGGAAAGUGAGUUUGGUUGGUAGCUGUGGCUGGGCUUUCUGAUUGCAGAAUCAUGGCUUCAAAGUUCAAGGGAACAUGGAAAUGCUGCUCUUCCCAAACCCUCCCACCCAAACCCACCAGUGGGGAAUGCUUCAAUACAAAAGCAAUUUUCUGCACCCACAACCAAAAAGCCAUAAAGAAUGGGGAAAAAAAGGUUCUCCAUCUUUGCCACAAGCCAACAAAACAAAUCCCAGUGGUCAUGUGAGCCAGUGAGUGGCUAAUAAUACUUUGAUGGAGUGACACAUAACAGGAAGAAGAGGCAUAAAGGGCAGAGCUCCUAAAUGAAAUAUGGAGUAAAGAACUGAUGAAUCCUAAAAUGGUCUUAAAUGAAUAUUACUAAUGGGUCCAGAGGUUGCCUCACAAUAAAAGGUAACCGAUGGCCCUUCUGCCA